rnacentral:rRNA from 1 species
GCAGAGGAAGCACCGGCUAACUCCGUGCCAGCAGCCGCGGGUAAUACGGAGGGUGCAAGCGUUAAUCGGAAUUACUGGGCGUAAAGCGCACGCAGGCGGUCUGUCAAGUCGGAUGUGAAAUCCCCGGGCUCAACCUGGGAACUGCAUUCGAAACUGGCAGGCUAGAGUCUUGUAGAGGGGGGUAGAAUUCCAGGUGUAGCGGUGAAAUGCGUAGAGAUCUGGAGGAAUACCGGUGGCGAAGGCGGCCCCCUGGACAAAGACUGACGCUCAGGUGCGAAAGCGUGGGGAGCAAACAGGAUUAGAUACCCUGGUAGUCCACGCCGUAAACGUUUGUCAACUUGGAGGUUGUGCCCUUGAGGCGUGGCUUCCGGAGCUAACG